rnacentral:lncRNA from 13 species
CGGCUCGCUGCGCGCCCGGAGCCCCCGAAACCCCCGGGACACCGGGAUCCCGCGCCCCUUCCCCCCCGGGACAACCCACCCACACCCCCCCUCCCCUCCCCGGCACUCUCGGGGUCCCGGGACCCCGCAGCCCCAGGACCACCACCGGCCUCCGCACCCCCGGGACCCCGCCUCUCCGGGCCUCGGGGACUGAGGAGCGAGAGGAGGAAAGAAAUCGUUUUGCUCCCAGUGAUAAGCUCUUCGUGAAGUCAGAAAGAAACACUCCAGCUUUCCUCCCGCGUUUUGGAUCAUCUAGAUGGGAUGUCUUAUGAAAAAAAGAUUGGAAGAUGAUAACACUUCUAGGAGAAACUCUUGAAUCAUUUAGUCCAGCUUUCUGAAUUAGACAAAGCACCUUGCUGUGUGUUUACACUUGACUUUUAAUUAACUCUUGGAUGUUUGGAUCAGCAUCUUAGCAGUCAGAGAGACCUUGUGAAGCUGUUUCCUUCCACUUAGUAGCCUCCUGUAUGAUGUGAAAAAAAUGAUCUGCAAAUUUUUUUGUGUUUUUUUCCCCUGAUAGCUUUUAAUCCACAUGAAAUGUGAAAAUGUCAUUUCUUCCAAACAACAGCAAUAUAUUUGAUUGUAUAUAAAUUGUAUUUUCAUAUGCUUUUUCCAGAUCAAAGUAUGAGAAACAAUAUAUAUGUUGUCUCUGGAAGGGGCAGAGUUUCUCUAGAAUAAUACUACUUCUGUAGACUUUUUAAGGGGCUCUGUUCUGAUGGUAUCCAGCAAGAUAAUUUGCUUCUGUGACUUCUUUUCCUCCAUUGUCUUCUCUUUAAAUUAAACCAAAGGAAAUUUUGCCAGACCAUUUCCGUUGAGAGGAAGACUGCAAUAUGUAUCUGUGCCAGCCAAACAGCUAAUUCCCUGUUUCAUUUCCUGAAAACACCUGAAUAGGGCUGAGCUGCUGGGUGUCUGGGCUUCCCCCUGUCUGUAUUGUAUCUAUUAUCUCAGACUCUGUUCAGAAGACUAUAUAAAAGAGCAACAGCAGUUGUGACCAGCCACACAGUAAGUAUAUUAAAAGUUCAUCCUUCCUCCCACAAACAUAUUUGUUUAAUAUUAUAAUAUUUGAAAGAAGUUCAGUCUGUAUUUUUUUAUGACUAAGCAGAGUUUGAAGUAAUGGAUAUGUUGCUAGUUCAGAAUGCUCCUAGGGUCUUAGACCCCCUGACUUUUGAUGCUGGGCACUAAUGCAGUGUUUCAGUUUCAGAACUUGCACAUUUUGAGUGGUAGGGAAAAUAUAAAGGGAUCUUGAAAACACUUGUGUGGUAGCAGCCGUCAUCACAGACCAGAUCCCAAAGGACAGAUUUGCAUUGCACUUGCCACCUUAGUCAUUGUGUUGCUGAAUGUCUGAUCAGCCAAGUCAGAGUUCCUAUUCUCUAAAGAGG